CGGAAUUUUAUACAUGCUUCAAUACUUAAAGUUACAUGAUCAAUAAUUGAAUUAAUACAUUAAAUUACGAUGUGACAUUCCUUCUAUUAAGACGGAUCGAAAGAAUACGCCUCAACUUCAAUCAACCUCAGCCAUUAAUUCUGGUGUCAUGUCCGCCGUUUUAACAAACAAAAUAAUAUCAUAAAGCUGUUUUUCUAUGUUUUACAAAUUGUAAAUUACAAUCCACUUGAUGGCUAAUAUAUGACCUAGCUUGGUGCCAUGCCGUUUACUGUUAGCUGAACAUCCUAUAAGUUGAAGGUACCGUUUCCACCAUCC